CUCAAACUGUGAUAAUUCGCUGAUUAUUUGUUCUUAAAUAACAUAAUAUGAAAACUACAUGAAGUAGCCAAUUACCAAGACUACAAAACCACCA